rnacentral:rRNA from 1 species
CGAACGUGUGAGUAACAUAUCGGAACGUACCGGGUAGCGGGGGAUAACUGAUCGAAAGAUCAGCUAAUACCGCAUACGUCUUGAGAGGGAAAGCAGGGGACCUUCGGGCCUUGCGCUAUCCGAGCGGCCGAUAUCUGAUUAGCUGGUUGGCGGGGUAAAGGCCCACCAAGGCGACGAUCAGUAGCGGGUCUGAGAGGAUGAUCCGCCACACUGGGACUGAGACACGGCCCAGACUCCUACGGGAGGCAGCAGAU